CGGAGGAAAGCGGGGGAUCUUCGGACCUCGCGCUACAGGGGCGGCCGAUGGCAGAUUAGCUGGUUGGUGGGGUAAAGGCCUACCAAGGCGACGAUCUGUAGCUGGUCUGAGAGGACGACCAGCCACACUGGGACUGAGACACUGCCCAGACUCCUACGGGAGGCAGCAGUGGGGAAUUUUGGACAAUGGGGGCAAGCCUGAUCCAGCAAUGCCGCGUGUGUGAAGAAGGCCUUCGGGUUGUAAAGCACUUUUGUCCGGAAAGAAAACCUCUGCCCUAAUACGGUGGGGGGAUGACGGUACCGGAAGAAUAAGCACCGGCUAACUACGUGCCAGCAGCCGCGGUAAUACGUAGGGUGCAAGCGUUAAUCGGAAUUACUGGGCGUAAAGCGUGCGCAGGCGGUUCGCUAAGACAGAUGUGAAAUCCCCGGGCUUAACCUGGGAACUGCAUUUGUGACUGGCGGGCUAGAGUAUGGCAGAGGGGGGUAGGAUUCCACGUGUAGCAGUGAACUGCGUAGAGAUGUGGAGGAAUACCGAUGGCGAAGGCAGCCCCCUGGGCCAAUACUGACGCUCAUGCACGAAAGCGUGGGGAGCAAACAGGAUUAGAUACCCUGGUAGUCCACGCCCUAAACGAUGUCAACUAGUUGUCGGGUCUUCAUUGACUUGGUAACGUAGCUAACGCGUGAACUUGACCGCCUGGGGAGUACGGUCGCAAGAUUAAAACUCAAAGGAAUUGACGGGGACCCGCACAAGCGGUGGAUGAUGUGGAUUAAUUCGAUGCAACGCGAAAAACCUUACCUACCCUUGACAUGUAUGGAAGUCUGCUGAGAGGUGGAUGUGCCCGAAAGGGAGCCAUAACACAGGUGCUGCAUGGCUGUCGUCAGCUCGUGUCGUGAGAUGUUGGGUUACGUCCCGCAACGAGCGCAACCCUUGUCCCUAGUUGCUACGCAAGAGCACUCCAGGGAGAC
rnacentral:rRNA from 1 species